rnacentral:rRNA from 1 species
GAUGAACGCUAGCGACAGGCCUAACACAUGCAAGUCGAGGGGCAGCACAUGAGUAGCAAUACGAUGGUGGCGACCGGCGCACGGGUGAGUAACACGUAUGCAACCUGCCUGUAAGAGGGGAAUAACCCGGAGAAAUUCGGACUAAUACCGCAUAAUACCACGAGACUGCAUGGUUUUGUGGUUAAACAUUUAUGGCUUACAGAUGGGCAUGCGUAUGAUUAGAUAGUUGGUAGGGUAACGGCCUACCAAGUCUACGAUCAUUAGGGGUUCUGAGAGGAAGGUCCCCCACACUGGUACUGAGACACGGACCAGACUCCUACGGGAGGCAGCGGUGAGGAAUAUUGGUCAAUGGGCGAGAGCCUGAACCAGCCAAGUCGCGUGAAGGAAGAAGGUUCUAUGGAUUGUAAACUUCUUUUGCAGGGGAAUAAAGGACGGUACGUGUACUGUUUUGUAUGUACCUUGCGAAUAAGGAUCGGCUAACUCCGUGCCAGCAGCCGCGGUAAA